rnacentral:sRNA from 1 species
GCCGGGUGUGGUGGUGCAUGCCUAUAAUCCCAGCGGCUCAGGAGGCUGAGGCAGGAUUGUGAGUUCAAAGCCAGCCUCAG